GGAAUAAUCCAGGGAAACUUGGACUAAUACCGGAUACGCCCUUCGGCGGAAAGAUUUAUCGCCGAAAGAUCGGCCCGCGUCUGAUUAGCUAGUUGGUGAGGUAAAGGCUCACCAAGGCGACGAUCAGUAGCUGGUCUGAGAGGAUGAUCAGCCACACUGGGACUGAGACACGGCCCAGUCUCCUACGGGAGGCAGCAGUGGGGAAUAUUGGACAAUGGGCGAAAGCCUGAUCCAGCCAUGCCGCGUGAGUGAUGAAGGCCUUAGGGUUGUAAAGCUCUUUUGUCCGGGAAGAUAAUGACUGUACCGGAAGAAUAAGCCCCGGCUAACUUCGUGCCAGCAGCCGCGGUAAUACGAAGGGGGCUAGCGUUGCUCGGAAUCCCUGGGCGUAAAGGGCGCGUAGGCGGACUUUUAAGUCGGAGGUGAAAGCCCAGGGCUCAACCCUGGAAUUGCCUUCGAUACUGGGAGUCUUGAGUUCGGAAGAGGUUGGUGGAACUGCGAGUGUAGAGGUGAAAUUCGUAGAUAUUCGCAAGAACACCGGUGGCGAAGGCGGCCAACUGGUCCGAAACUGACGCUGAGGCGCGAAAGCGUGGGGAGCAAACAGGAUUAGAUACCCUGGUAGUCCCCCCCGUAAACGAUGAAUGCCAGCCGUUGGGGAGCUUGCUCUUCAGUGGCGCAGCGAACGCUUAAGCAUCCGCGUGGAGACGGAUUAAAAAAAG
rnacentral:rRNA from 1 species